rnacentral:siRNA from 1 species
CACAAGCCAGGCUAUCUCGCCA